rnacentral:misc_RNA from 1 species
GGGAACACAAACUACUUUGGCGAACGUUAGAAAAAGACAAUAUGUUUUGUCUACGUUACGCCUGUUUCUAGUUAAAAAUAAUAUCAACUACGGUGAUACCGAUACGUGAAGGAAACGAAAGGGAAGUAAAAAAGAUGUGCGAUCUGGUAAGAAAGGCAUAGAUCAGGUGCGCAUUGAACACCAAAGCGCACUUUAGAGAGAAGCCAAUAUUAGUUGACGAAUAUGAUGAAGCGGAGACAGAAAUACGUACCACAUCUGUGCCUGCUGGUGCUGGAGAGAUUGAACCCAAACUGGGCGUGGGUGCCUCCGUGGGUGGCGCUGGUGGACUUGGCGCCAAGGGAGAUGGAGCUGGA